UUUAGGGAACCGCCACGUCUAUAUUAUCUAUCGCUAACCAGAAACCUCCGACUCCGAGAUCUCGUCCGCAAAAUCGCCGCCCCAUCAGUCUUCCUCCUCCCCGCCGCCGCUUCGAUCUGCCAGUACCGGUGGUCUCCUCCGCUUUCCUAUUGAAGUCCGGCCUCCCUGCAGCCUCCUCCACUCACUCCUCCCACCAUUUCUCCUUACAGGGUCCACGUGAGGGAGACCACGCCCAGGGCAUGGCUUUGCGCAGGCGGACAUGUCGAGGCUAGGUCGUCGGGGCGCCGGACACGGACGGUCUCGUCGAGCACCUCCAUGGGGAGCUACGGGGUGGUCAGCGGCGCGGCUGCUGACUUGUCAGGUCCACCGCGCUCGUCGAUGACGAUCUUCUCCUUCCGCAGGCCCAUGCCAACAAUCUCCUCCACCAAUGGACAUCACCGUUAUCUUCUACCUUUGAUUUGUCUGUAUUCCGAAGUUGAUUGGCAUUCACUUGCAGCCCAAUUUGACAGGCGGCACCAUAAUCUCAUACCGUGAAGCGGCAGUAUAUUGUGUUCUGUUUCCAGUAGUUUCUGUUAUUGGUUGAAGCAAACUCUUUUCUUUGUUAUGACAGUGGUUAUGCUAUACCCCGUGCUUCAAGAACAAGUGGUGUGGUGUUUCGAUAUUUGACUCCAUAUGGUAGCUGGCAAGAGUUCGGAAGGAAACUCUAAAGUGCUUGGUCAUGUGGUCUGGUGGUGUGUAGAACUUUUAAGAUCAUUGUGGUUUGUGAUUUAUGAUGUUAUCCUGGCCUGGUGGUGUGUCAAGACUAUUUCUGUUUGUGCUUUGUUACAUUGUCCAGCAAGGAGAGGUUGUUCUUCGUGCUUGGACCAUGUUUAUAUAUUUUUUCCUUUCAUGGGAAUCUAGCUCACACACUUUGCAUC